rnacentral:sRNA from 1 species
GCUCUCUCCCAGGCCUUGGGGUCAGUGUGAGCCCCAAGGGCAAGAACACUUCUGGAAGGGAGAGUGGAUUUGGCUGGGCCAUCUGGAUGGAAGGUAAAAAAAGAAAAUCCCUUGAAAGGAGAUUGAGGGAAGUUUCUAGACAAACCGACCCCCAAAUCUGUGUUGCUGGGGGAACAGAGGAGAAGAGAGAGUCUCGCCCUCCUGGCUUUCUAGAAGGAACGUGAGAACACGUGUUUGUGCUGAGAGUGGGUCAGAGCGGCUCCAGGGCAAAGCAUGUGGACAGGUCUGGUCUUCUCUCGUCUGAGCCCUGAGUACUACGACCUGGCAAGAGCCCACCUGCGUGAUGAGGAGAAAUCCUGCCCGUGCCUGGCCCAGGAGGGCCCCCAGGGUGACCUGUUGACCAAAACACAGGAGCUGGGCCGUAACUACAGGACCUGUCUGAUGAUAAUCCAAAGACUGAAGGAUAUGGUGGAGGAUCAGCCCACCCAGGUGAGGCCAAGGGGCUACAGAGCCUCCUGUCUGCUGCUCAAUGGAGGGGCCAGCCUGUGACCAGGUCGGGGAUCGGGGAGCCCGGGGGCACCUUGCACAGUGAUCCUGGGGGAGGGCUUCCGAGAAGGGAAUCUGUGAGUCCCCGUGUGUCUGUGGAUGAAUUUCAGAGAACUUGUGAAAUUGUGACUCUCUGGAACUGUGUAAGUCAGACGGCAGAGUAUACAUGGUUUUCAUCAUGUAUCCUCAAAGAGGGCUUGUCCCAGAGAAGUUAGGAAUCUUCCCCUAAAGCCCUAACGUUUGUGUCCAAGGCAGAGUUUGAGAAGCUAGUUCCCCAAGAGGCCUGGGUCAGGACUGAUAAAUCCCAGAUCUGCUACUUCCAAGCUGCAUGGCCUUGGGCAAGUCACUUCCACUUUCUGAGCCUCUGUUAUCUUAUCUUUGAAAUGUGAUGGAUAAUAGUCCCUAUCUUGCAAGUUGUC